UCCAACUCCUGACCUCAUGAUCCCCCCGCCUCAGCCUCCCAAAGUGCUGGGAUUACAAGCGUGAGCCACCGCGACCCGCCAACACUCUUGACAACAGUGCUGUGCUAAGAACUUGGGGGACUUCAAAAAGUUCACCAGUUCCUGUGUCCAUGGGUGAAAAGAUUUUCUACAUCUUUCCUUGACUAGAAACAGAAGUCCUGAAACAAGAAUAUAACGUCAGGAGGCCAGAGGCUUUGUCCUGCCUAAUGUGUUAUUUCCACACUGAAUAAAAGCACCUGAGUCCUGCAUUUUAAAAAGGUUGUACAUCUAGCAAUACCUAACAAAAUAGGAAAUCAACUUGGAAAGCCAAUGGCUGUGUUUUGAGUUUAUGGAGAGCCAUAUGUGGCAAGGAACUGAGGGUGGCAUCCAGGCAACAGACUUCAAGAAACUGAGGCUGUCAGUCCAACAACCCACAAGAACUGAAUCUGACCAACAAUCACAGGAACAAACUUAGAAGUAUACUCUUUCCCAGACAAACCUUCAGAUGAGACCACAGCCCCAGCCAUAAGCUUGAAAACAAUCUCAUGAGGGACCUUGAGCCACAGGCAUGUAGUAAAGCUAUGCCAGGAAUCCUGCCUGCCCCACAGAAAAUGUAAAAAAAAUAAAUUUUUAUUGUUUUAAGCCACGAAGUUUUGAAGUAAUUUGAUAUAAAACAAUAGAUAAUUAAUACACAUAGAGAAAAAUUAAGCAGGGAAAGGAGAUAGCUAGUGCUGGAAGAAUGAAGUGAGAAACAUGGUAAUUUAUACAGCAUCAUCAGAGAAGGUCUCAAUCAGAUUUUAACAUUUAAGCAAAACUUUGGAGGAACUGAGAGAGUGAGCUAUCCAUGGGAGGAAGUUUCCAGAAAAAGGAAGAAUAGGUGCAAAGGCACUGAGGUAGGAGUAAUUCUAUAUGUUUAGCGAAGGCAAGGAUGCUAGCAUGGC
rnacentral:lncRNA from 1 species